rnacentral:ncRNA from 2 species
CGGCACUCUCAGGGCGGGGCGAAACUCCCCACCGGCGGUAACGGGGCCAGCCCCCGAAGCCCGCGAGCGGCCCCGGUUCUCCGGGGUGUCAGCAGACCCGGUGCAAUUCCGGGGCCGACGGUCAUAGUCCGGAUGGAAGAGAGCGACA